AGAGUUUGAUCAUGGCUCAGGACGAAUGCUGGCGGCGUGCCUAAUACAUGCAAGUCGAGCGAAUCGAUGGGAGCUUGCUCCCUGAGAUUAGCGGCGGACGGGUGAGUAACACGUGGGUAACCUGCCUGUAAGACUGGGAUAACUUCGGGAAACCGGAGCUAAUACCGGAUAUCUUCUUUUUUCGCAUGAGGGAAGAUGGAAAGAUGGUUCUGCUAUCACUUACAGAUGGACCCGCGGCGCAUUAGCUAGUUGGUGAGGUAGUGGCUCACCAAGGCCACGAUGCGUAGCCGACCUGAGAGGGUGAUCGGUCACACUGGGACUGAGACACGGCCCAGACUCCUACGGGAGGCAGCAGUAGGGAAUCUUCCGCAAUGGACGAAAGCCUGACGGAGCAACGCCGCGUGAGCGAAGAAGGC
rnacentral:rRNA from 1 species